rnacentral:lncRNA from 1 species
AGAUCCUGCAUAAUAAUUGAUAUCAGAGCAAGAUGGUACCGGAGCAUAGGUUGCGACGAUGGUGAUCGAGAUAGAAGAUAGAGAAGACAAGCAUAAUUAAGAUGGAGAUCAACAGGUUUGAUGAAAAGAGCAAUUUCUUCUUAUGGUAGGCAAGGGUGAAGGAUGUGCUCAUCCAACAAAGGUUGAUAGAUGCUCUCUUGUGCGAGUAGAAGCCGACUAUCAUGAAAGUGCAG